rnacentral:rRNA from 1 species
GGUGAACGCUGGCGGCGUGCCUAAUACAUGCAAGUCGAGCGAACAGACGAGGAGCUUGCUCCUCUGACGUUAGCGGCGGACGGGUGAGUAACACGUGGAUAACCUACCUAUAAGACUGGGAUAACUUCGGGAAACCGGAGCUAAUACCGGAUAAUAUAUUGAACCGCAUGGUUCAAUAGUGAAAGACGGUUUUGCUGUCACUUAUAGAUGGAUCCGCGCCGCAUUAGCUAGUUGGUAAGGUAACGGCUUACCAAGGCAACGAUGCGUAGCCGACCUGAGAGGGUGAUCGGCCACACUGGAACUGAGACACGGUCCAGACUCCGACGGGAGGCAGCAGUAGGGAAUCUUCCGCAAUGGGCGAAAGCCUGACGGAGCAACGCCGCGUGAGGGAUGAAGGUCUUCGGAUCGUAAAACUCUGUUAUUAGGGAAGAACAAAUGUGUAAGUAACUAUGCACGUCUUGACGGUACCUAAUCAGAAAGCCACGGCUAACUACGUG